UGACGGGGGCCCGCACAAGCGGUGGAGCAUGUGGUUUAAUUCGAAGCAACGCGAAGAACCUUACCAGGUCUUGACAUCUUUUGAUCACCUGAGAGAUCAGGUUUCCCCUUCGGGGGCAAAAUGACAGGUGGUGCAUGGUUGUCGUCAGCUCGUGUCGUGAGAUGUUGGGUUAAGUCCCGCAACGAGCGCAACCCUUAUGACUAGUUGCCAGCAUUUAGUUGGGCACUCUAGUAAGACUGCCGGUGACAAACCGGAGGAAGGUGGGGAUGACGUCAAAUCAUCAUGCCCCUUAUGACCUGGGCUACACACGUGCUACAAUGGAUGGUACAACGAGUUGCGAGACCGCGAGGUCAAGCUAAUCUCUUAAAGCCAUUCUCAGUUCGGACUGUAGGCUGCAACUCGCCUACACGAAGUCGGAAUCGCUAGUAAUCGCGGAUCAGCACGCCGCGGUGAAUACGUUCCCGGGCCUUGUACACACCGCCCGUCACACCAUGAGAGUUUGUAACACCCGAAGCCGGUGGCGUAACCCUUUUAGGGAGCGAGCCGUCUAAG
rnacentral:rRNA from 1 species